GUGUUCGCUUCGGCAGCACGUAUACUAAAGUUGGAAUGAUACAGAGAAGAUUACCGUGGCCCUGUGCAAGGAUGACGUGCGCAUUCGUGAAGUGUUGUCUUUUCAU